GUCCACGCCGUAAACGAUGUCUACUAGCCGUUGGGAGACUUGAUUUCUUAGUGGCGCAGCUAACGCACUAAGUAGACCGCCUGGGGAGUACGGCCGCAAGGUUAAAACUCAAAUGAAUUGACGGGGGCCCGCACAAGCGGUGGAGCAUGUGGUUUAAUUCGAUGCAACGCGAAGAACCUUACCAAGCCUUGACAUCCUGCGAACUUUCUAGAGAUAGAUUGGUGCCUUCGGGAACGCAGUGACAGGUGCUGCAUGGCU
rnacentral:rRNA from 1 species